UUGAAAGGGAAACGAUUGAAGUCAGUCGUACCAGCGGGAAAUCAACCUUUCGAGUGGGGGUUUUGGAGUUUUGAAGAGUGUCAAAACCUUUGAGAUUUCAAAAUAUUCGCUCUUUUGGUGUACUUUCUCGUGGGUAGGUUAACAUCGAUUUUGAUCAUCAUAAAAAGAUUGGAGGAAUGUAGCUUCGAUCUUGUAUUGAAGUGUUAUAGCCUUUGGUAAAUGUGAUGAUUAGGAUCGAGGAUUGCAACGAAUACCCUUUUGGGCUAUCCGCCUGAUCUCUGAUACGUGGCCUUGGUAUCGAAAGCUUGCUUAUGGUAUCAAGGUAUUACGGUCAAAAGGUUAGAACGGAUUACAUUCGUUAAGGAUGUUGACGAU
rnacentral:rRNA from 1 species